UAGUCGAUGGGAAACAGGUUAAUAUUCCUGUACUUGGUGUUACUGCGAAGGGGGGACGGAGAAGGCUAUGUUGGCCGGGCGACGGUUGUCCCGGUUUAAGCGUGUAGGCUGGUUUUCCAGGCAAAUCCGGAAAAUCAAGGCUGAGGCGUGAUGACGAGGCACUACGGUGCUGAAGCAACAAAUGCCCUGCUUCCAGGAAAAGCCUCUAAGCAUCAGGUAACAUCAAAUCGUACCCCAAACCGACACAGGUGGUCAGGUAGAGAAUACCAAGGCGCUUGAGAGAACUCGGGUGAAGGAACUAGGCAAAAUGGUGCCGUAACUUCGGGAGAAGGCACGCUGAUAUGUAGGUGAAGUCCCUCGCGGAUGGAGCUGAAAUCAGUCGAAGAUACCAGCUGGCUGCAACUGUUUAUUAAAAACACAGCACUGUGCAAACACGAAAGUGGACGUAUACGGUGUGACGCCUGCCCGGUGCCGGAAGGUUAAUUGAUGGGGUCAGCGCAAGCGAAGCUCUUGAUCGAAGCCCCGGUAAACGGCGGCCGUAACUAUAACGGUCCUAAGGUAGCGAAAUUCCUUGUCGGGUAAGUUCCGACCUGCACGAAUGGCGUAAUGAUGGCCAGGCUGUCUCCACCCGAGACUCAGUGAAAUUGAACUCGCUGUGAAGAUGCAGUGUACCCGCGGCAAGACGGAAAGACCCCGUGAACCUUUACUAUAGCUUGACACUGAACAUUGAGCCUUGAUGUGUAGGAUAGGUGGGAGGCUUUGAAGUGUGGACGCCAGUCUGCAUGGAGCCGGCCUUGAAAUACCACCCUUUAAUGUUUGAUGUUCUAACGUUGACCCGUGAUCCGGGUUGCGGACAGUGUCUGGUGGGUAGUUUGACUGGGGCGGUCUCCUCCUAAAGAGUAACGGAGGAGCACGAAGGUUGGCUAAUCCUGGUCGGACAUCAGGAGGUUAGUGCAAUGGCAUAAGCCAGCUUGACUGCGAGCGUGACGGCGCGAGCAGGUGCGAAAGCAGGUCAUAGUGAUCCGGUGGUUCUGAAUGGAAGGGCCAUCGCUCAACGGAUAAAAGGUACUCCGGGGAUAACAGGCUGAUACCGCCCAAGAGUUCAUAUCGACGGCGGUGUUUGGCACCUCGAUGUCGGCUCAUCACAUCCUGGGGCUGAAGUAGGUCCCAAGGGUAUGGCUGUUCGCCAUUUAAAGUGGUACGCGAGCUGGGUUUAGAACGUCGUGAGACAGUUCGGUCCCUAUCUGCCGUGGGCGCU
rnacentral:rRNA from 1 species